AACUAUGAAUGAGGUGAUUCAAAGUCCUGUGGGUUUGUGGAGUUUGUGGCUACAUGGGAGAGUGAUCAGAAGUUGUUAAGGUUUCUUCGUUUGAGCGUGACAAAAUUGUUAGUCCAUUCAGAAAGGAAAAACUCCAGAGAGGUGAUUUGGAGUGCGCACGGUCAGCCUUAAGG